AUUGAACGCUGGCGGCGUGCCUAACACAUGCAAGUCGAGCGGUAACAGGUGUAGCAAUACAUGCUGACGAGCGGCGAACGGGUGAGUAAUGCUUCGGAAUCUACCUUAUGGUGGGGAAUAACUAGCCGAAAGGUUAGCUAAUACCGCAUACGUCCUACGGGAGAAAGCAGGGGAUCGUAAGACCUUGCGCCAAAAGAUGAGCCGAAGUCGGAUUAGCUAGUUGGUAGGGAACGGCCUACCAAGGCGACGAUCCGUAGCUGGUCUGAGAGGACGACCAGCCACACUGGGACUGAGACACGGCCCAGACUCCUACGGGAGGCAGCAGUGGGGAAUAUUGGACAAUGGGGGAAACCCUGAUCCAGCGACGCCGCGUGUGUGAAGAAGGCCUGGCGGGUUGUAAAGCACUUUUAGUGGGGAUGAAAUGUGCAGGGUUAAUACCUCUG
rnacentral:rRNA from 1 species